rnacentral:lncRNA from 1 species
CUAAUUUAUAUCUUAAGAAUACUUGAAAAAGAACUAGAGAAAUAAGCAAGUAAUUACUUUAGAUGAGACAGAGAGAUGUUAUUUUUAAGAAUUAUGUAGGAAAGGGCCAUGGAAGGUAGGCAUAAAAAUAAUGCAGCUACAGACACCAGUGGUGGACUGUGAGAAGCCUGGAAAAGGAUAUGCUACAAAGUGAGGGCAAACACGUAGGGGAGGACAAAGAAUGAACUACAUUCUGGAAGGUGUGGCCAGGAGCUUUUGAAAUUAUGUCAACUAUGUGCAGAUACACACACAAAAAAAUAAAUAAAUAUUGUGCACGUCCAUGAUGCACAGCAUUGUUUGCAUCACAGCCUUACUGGGAGAGGCAAUAGUAUGUCUCACUGUCACAGCAGGACAGUGCAAACAUUGCAACACUAUGUCAAGCCAUCACUCUCUGCUCAGUGCUAUAUAAGGAACUGGAUUGCCAAGCUCUGCAAGGUAACUGAAACAAAAAACAAAACCUGUGUGGCAGAUACAAGUCCAUCAACAUCCAUAAGUCCAUCAACAAACAACCAUUUUGCAACAGAUCCUCAAUAUGCCUUAAACAGUUACGUGAAGACAAUAGAACACUAGAUUAAUCAUGUGAUUGAAAUGGGCCACAUGUAGCACCUCAAUAGCAAUAAAUGUAGCAUAUAGAUAAGUUGUCUAGCCAAUUUUCCUGUGACUAUUUUAUCCCAGAUUUCUAUUUAGCUUUUAUUGUUAUUAUUAUUGUUGUUGUUGUUGUUAUUCAGCAAUACUAGUGAAACUCCUAAAAAAAUGCUAAAUACAUGAUUUAGGGAGUGUCUGCAGCAAAGUAUGCUGGGAAGUUGUUAGGGCUAUAAGAACUGAAGCAGCAACUAAAGUUAGAUCACCUGAGAAGCAGAGUAGUGGAGGACGUCAGAUGGGAUCUGAUAGCACUGACGGCAAACUUGACUUCCAGAUGUCAGAGGAAGAAUAUUCUUUUCUAAAUGUCAAAAGAUCUAUGAAAAAACAACUGGUGAAACACAGCACUCCAGUGGACUCAAUGCUCUCCAGAACAAUGCCGUCUCUUACAGAUUUGACAUGUCAGUCAGUUAAGGAUCAAGAUGGCAGUAAGAGAGUUUUUGAAUCCCCAGUACCAAAAUCAACUCUAAGCAGAUCAGUAGCUCAAGUGUCUCUAGCAAGUAUUGAAGCAUACAUUCCUCAUAAGUCUCCAAAAAGGCUUUCAACUGUGUUUGACUUGCAAGAGUCAAACAAGGAGAUAAACAAAAGUUCUCGGGUUGUAUUUUCUAGAAGAAGACUUUCCACUGUGUUGGCCUCUAAUGAGUCAAAUGAAGAACCAAGUGAAGAGGCAGUCUCAACUGUGGAAACUCAAGCUCCAACAAAAGCAUCUGAGAAGGUUGCAGUAACUCCCAGGAGUGGACCUUCAUGGCUGGUUACUGGAAUACCAGGGAUAAAAGAUGUCCAAAUAGGAAAAAAGAAAAAGAAGAAAAUUGAUAAAUCUAUUGUGAGAAAGAAACAAAGAGAAUGGGUGCUUCGUCAACUUAAAAACAUUGAGGAAGCAAAAGAACAUGAGCUGACAAUUGAAGAAAUGUGACCAAAAUAUGUUUGGAAUUAAUGCUGUCACAUGGUUCUUGUGUUAAUAACUGGUUUCAAUAAAUCACAUGCCUGGAUAAUAUGUAGUGCUUCC